CUCACUUGACGACACAGAUGGACAGCGCUUACUACUUGUUCCAGGAGAUCCGGCAGGGGCUCCAGGAACAUCACAAGCAGGCAGAAAACUUCCUACAGAUAGUGGAGACCUGCAACCAAUCCCUGGGCUUCCAGCUGGGGGAGCACCAGGGAAACCAGGAGUUCCCCAGUGAGCAGCCCAACCGGGACCCCCAGCACCCAGAGGCCAAGACCCCACAGCCCUCCAGUCUCCA
rnacentral:lncRNA from 1 species